rnacentral:rRNA from 1 species
AGAACGAACGCUGGCGGCAUGCCUAAUACAUGCAAGUCGAACGAACUCUUCGGAGUUAGUGGCGCACGGGUGCGUAACGCGUGGGAAUCUGCCCUUGGGUUCGGAAUAACAGUUGGAAACGACUGCUAAUACCGGAUGAUGACGAAAGUCCAAAGAUUUAUCGCCCAGGGAUGAGCCCGCGUAGGAUUAGCUAGUUGGUGAGGUAAAGGCUCACCAAGGCGACGAUCCUUAGCUGGUCUGAGAGGAUGAUCAGCCACACUGGGACUGAGACACGGCCCAGACUCCUACGGGAGCAGCAGUAGGGAAUAUGGACAAGUGGGACGAAAGCCUGAUCCAGCAAUGCCGCGUGAGUGAUGAAGGCCUUAGGUUAGUAAAGCUUACUUUACCCGAGUA